rnacentral:rRNA from 1 species
GAUGAACGCUGGCGGCGUGCCUAAUACAUGCAAGUCGAGCGAACAGACGAGGAGCUUGCUCCUCUGACGUUAGCGGCGGACGGGUGAGUAACACGUGGAUAACCUACCUAUAAGACUGGGAUAACUUCGGGAAACCGGAGCUAAUACCGGAUAAUAUAUUGAACCGCAUGGUUCAAUAGUGAAAGACGGUUUUGCUGUCACUUAUAGAUGGAUCCGCGCCGCAUUAGCUAGUUGGUAAGGUAACGGCUUACCAAGGCAACGAUGCGUAGCCGACCUGAGAGGGUGAUCGGCCACAAUGGAACUGAGACACGGUCCCGACUCCUAAGGGAGGCAGCAGUAGGGAAUCUUCCGCAAAGGGCGAAAGCCUGAAGGAGCAACGCCGCGUGAGUGAUGAAGGUCUUCGGAUCGUAAAACUCUGUUAUUAGGGAAGAACAAAUGUGUAAGUAACUAUGCACGUCUUGACGGUACCUAAUCAGAAAGCCACGGCUAACUACGUG